rnacentral:rRNA from 1 species
UACGAAGGGUGCAAGCGUUACUCGGAAUUACUGGGCGUAAAGCGUGCGUAGGUGGUGAGUUAAGUCUGUCGUGAAAGCCCCGGGCUCAACCUGGGAAUUGCGCGCGAAACGGGCGGGCUUGAGUUCGGGAGAGGAGCGUGGAAUUCCCAGUGUAGAGGUGAAAUUCGUAGAUAUUGGGAAGAACACCGGUGGCGAAGGCGGCGCUCUGGACCGAGACUGACGCUGAGGCGCGAAAGCGUGGGGAGCAAACAGG